UAGGCAGGCAUUUUCGGGGGGAAGGCCCGUAGGUUUCAUCUGCCGAUUCUAUCCCUAGUUUGGCAUUUUUGCUCCAGAAAAAGGCAAGUGAAACAAAACAAACCCGCGCUCCAUCUAGUAGCACCGCGGAGUGCUGCUCUGCUUUUCCUCCGGCAGCAGGCGGCCGCCGACGCGCCUCCCGUCCCCUCGCCGCCUCGUCUCCUCUGCGUUAAAGCGAAACUGAACUGCAAGCUCGAGGGGUACGCGCCUCGCGUUGCGGGUUUUCAGCGGCAGACAGAGAGGUGUCGACGGUCGGACGUCCAUGGAGCGGCGGCCUUGCGAAAUCCAGAUCGACGAUCCAGCCAAGAACCCACCUGGCGGGGGCCUUCCGUUCCUCUGCCGUUGUGAGUUCAGAGAUCGAGGGACGGGACCAGUGGCUGUUCGGAGAGGAGAUGGAUAUCACUGGCCCUAGUGUUCUGUUGGACUGUAUAUCUUUUGUGUACAGGCGAAAGGACUGAACGAUUCUUUUACACAAUAUAUACUAGGGUUUGUACAGAUUUGUCCAAACUAGUGAGGAAUUGCAACGCUACGCUAUGCAGAAACUACGUGUGCUCAGCUGAAGUAUCUUCUUCUUACCCGAAACGCAUUGUUUUUUCAAGUCCUAGGUGUAUGCCGACAAAAUGCCUGAUCCUGUUCUGUCGUUGCCUGUACUAACCAUAACUAUUUUGUCUUACAGAUGGAUCGGCUGCUUAUUUGGCUAUAGGAAACGUAUCGCCCUGCAAACACGAUGGCAUAGCAAGGAAAUAUUCAGGGCCAGAACUUCCAGAGCUAAGGUACAGCAUCAUUUGACAAUAUAUACCCGAUGGCGUGGCUGAGGCUGAAGUGUGCGUGCCACUAAUUAAUUGACAAAAGAUGAUGGGUCUGUGUGAGAAUGUGAGGUCAAGACAUAUAUAGUAGCCAGGGAUAGACUAGAAGUGAAAGGGCAAGAACAUGUUCUCGGCGCCAAGAUUGGGGGUUAUGGUUGAUCGUUCGUUAUCAAGCACUUGAUUUGGAUCCAGUAGCUCUGUAUCUCUACUCACUUUUCAUACUAGCAUCCUGCCUCAUACGCGCCGUCCAAUAACAGCGUGCGGGGGGAAGGGCCGGCAGCGGCGGCUAGAGGAGGAAUGUGCAAGUGGCUUGAGGGAGCGGAUUUGUCUUGGACGUGGUAAUGAUAUCAUUAUGAAGAGAUCAAGCAUGAUUAGAGAUACAACAAUAUGGCGCUGUCAGCAUGUUCCUUUAAUUAUCCCGCUUACGUUGUUACACUAUGUUGCAGUAGGAUGCUUUAUCUUGAAUUCCGUCUAUUUACAUCACUUAUUUGCCGCUUAUGUUGUUAAGCAGUAGUUGCUGACCAGUUGAAUUUCUCUUUCGAUCUA